AGAUAUUUACUCUAAAGACUAAAUUGUAAAUUUAGUAUUCAAAAUAUCAA
rnacentral:tRNA from 1 species